UCCGGCUUAUCACCGGCAGUUUCUUUAGAGUGCCCAACUAAAUGGUGGCAACUAAAGACGAGGGUUGCGCUCGUUGCGGGACUUAACCCAACAUCUCACGACACGAGCUGACGACAGCCAUGCAGCACCUGUGUCCACGUCCCGUAAGGGAAGGAAUCCAUCUCUGGAAACCGUCGUGACAUGUCAAACGCUGGUAAGGUUCUUCGCGUUGCGUCGAAUUAAACCACAUGCUCCACCGCUUGUGCGGGCCCCCGUCAAUUCCUUUGGGUUUCAGCCUUGCGGCCGUACUCCCCAGGCGGGGUACUUAAUGCGUUAGCUGCGGCGCUGAAUGUGUCGAAACACCCAGCACCUAGUACCCAUCGUUUACGGCGUGGACUAC
rnacentral:misc_RNA from 1 species